rnacentral:rRNA from 1 species
CCUACGGGUGGCUGCAGUGAGGAAUUUUGGGCAAUGGGCGAAAGCCUGACCCAGCAACGCCGCGUGGGUGAUGAAGGCCCUCGGGUCGUAAAGCCCUUUUCCCAGGGAAGAUAGUGACGGUACCUGGGGAAUCAGCCCCGGCUAACUACGUGCCAGCAGCCGCGGUAAUACGUAGGGGGCAAGCGUUGUCCGGAUUUAUUGGGCGUAAAGCGCUCGCAGGUGGUCCGUUGCGUCGUGCGUGAAAGACCCCGGCUCAACUGGGGAGUGUCGUGCGAUACGGGCGGACUAGAGGCCAGUAGGGGGAUGCGGAAUUCCGGGUGUAGUGGUGGAAUGCGUAGAGAUCCGGAGGAACACCAGCGGCGAAGGCGGCAUCCUGGACUGGUCCUGACACUCAGGAGCGAAAGCGUGGGGAGCGAACCGGCUUAGAUACCCCUGUAGUC